CCUACGGGAGGCAGCAGUGGGGAAUUUUGGACAAUGGGCGCAAGCCUGAUCCAGCAAUGCCGCGUGAGUGAAGAAGGCCUUCGGGUUGUAAAGCUCUUUUGUCAGGGAAGAAACGGUGUGGGCUAAUAUCCCGCACUAAUGACGGUACCUGAAGGAUAAGCACCGGCUAACUACGUGCCAGCAGCCGCGGUAAUACGUAGGGUGCAAGCGUUAAUCGGAAUUACUGGGCGUAAAGCGUGCGCAGGCGGUUUUGUAAGUUUGUCGUGAAAUCCCCGGGCUCAACCUGGGAAUGGCGAUGAAGACUGCAAGGCUAGAAUCUGGCAGAGGGGGGUAGAAUUCCACGUGUAGCAGUGAAAUGCGUAGAGAUGUGGAGGAACACCGAUGGCGAAGGCAGCCCCCUGGGUCAAGAUUGACGCUCAUGCACGAAAGCGUGGGGAGCAAACAGGAUUAGAUACCCUGGUAGUCCACGCCCUAAACGAUGUCUACUAGUUGUCGGGUUUUAAUUAACUUGGUAACGCAGCUAACGCGUGAAGUAGACCGCCUGGGGAUACGGUCGCAAGAUUAAAACUCAAAGGAAUUGACGG
rnacentral:rRNA from 1 species